GUACCUGAAGGAAAGGAAAUCAAACGAGACUCCCUCAGUAGCGGCGAGCGAAGGGGGAAUAGCCCAAACCGUGUGGAUCCGUCCAUGCGGGGUUGUAGGGCCGGCAUACGUGAUUCUGGAGUAGGCAGGGGAAGGAAGCUGGAAAGCUUCGCCAGAGCGGGUGAUAGCCCCGUACCCGAAACCGAAAAGGACGCAGCCGGUACCUGAGUACUGCGAGGCACGUGAAACCUCGUGGGAAUCUGGGAGGACCAUCUUCCAAGGCUAAGUACUAACCGACGACCGAUAGUGCACCAGUACCGUGAGGGAAAGGUGAAAAGAACCCCUGUCAGGGGAGUGAAAUAGAAUCUGAAACCUGAUGCUUACAAGCUGUGGGAGCACCCUUGUGGUGUGACCGCGUGCCUUUUGCAUAAUGAGUCAGCGAGUUAAUCUGUACUGCAAGGUUAAGCGUAAGUGGAGCCGUAGCGAAAGCGAGUCUGAUAAGGGCGUUUAGUAGUGCGGAUUAGACCCGAAACCAGGUGAUCUAUCCAUGAGCAGGUUGAAGCAAGGGUAAAACCUUGUGGAGGACCGAACCAUUAACGGCUGAAAACGUUUUGGAUGACUUGUGGAUAGGGGUGAAAGGCCAAUCAAACCUGGUGAUAGCUGGUUCUCCCCGAAAUAUAUUGAGGUAUAGCCUCAUGGAUUGUCUACCGGAGGUAAAGCACUGACAGAGCUAGGGGUCCUACCAGAUUACCAAACUCUUUCAAACUCAGAAUGCCGGUCAGAUGUACCAUGGGAGUCAGACAGUGGGUGCUAAGGUCCAUUGUCGAGAGGGUAAGAGCCCAGAUCAACAGCUAAGGUCUCCAAAUCUAUGCUCAGUGGUUAAGGUGGUGACGUUGUAGAGACACCCAGGACGUUGGCUUAGAAGCAGCCAUCGUUUAAAGAAAGCGUAAUAGCUCACUGGUCUAAUGACGUUGCGCCGAAAAUGUAACGGGGCUAAGCAUAGUACCGAAGCUUUGAAUUCCGCUUAGGCGGUCUGGUAGGGGAGCGUUCUUCAUGGGCUGAAGGUGUGUUGUAAAGCAUGCUGGACUGUGGAGAAGUGAUUAUGCUGACAUGAGUAACGAUAAAACGGGUGAAAAACCCGUUCGCCGUAAACCCAAGGUUUCCUGGGUAAAGGUAAUCUUCCCAGGGUUAGUCGGUCCCUAAGGUGAGGCUGAAAGGCGUAGCUGAUGGGAAACGAGUUAAUAUUCUCGUACUUGUACAUCUGUGCGAUGGAGGGACGCAGAAAGGUAGGCAGGCCGGGUGUUGGUUGUCCCGGUGCAAGCAGGUAGACGUGUGGUACAGGCAAAUCCGUACCGCUCUACGUCGAGACGCGAGUCCGUGACCGUAAGGUCUGAAGCUGUUGAGCCUAUACUGCCUAGAAAAUCUUCUAAGUUUAGGAUGUGCAAACCGUACCGCAAACCAACUCAGGUGGGUGGGAUGAAUAAUCCAAGGCGCUCGAGAGAACUCUGGCCAAGGAACUCGGCAAAAUAACCCCGUAACUUCGGAAGAAGGGGUGCUCUCUAGGGUGACAUGUUUAACAUAUGAAGCCCCGGGGAGCCGCAGUGAAUUGGUGGUGGCGACUGUUUACUAAAAACAUAGGUCUGUGCGAAGUCCUAAAGACGACGUAUACGGACUGACGCCUGCCCGGUGCCGGAAGGUUAAAAGGAGAGGUCAGCGCAAGCGAAGCUUCGAAUUGAAGCCCCGGUAAACGGCGGCCGUAACUAUAACGGUCCUAAGGUAGCGAAAUUCCUUGUCGGGUAAGUUCCGACCUGCACGAAUGGCGUAACGAUCUCCACACUGUCUCGGCCAGAGACUCGGUGAAAUUGCAGUCGCGGUGAAAAUUCCGUGUACCCGCAGAAAGACGGAAAGACCCUGUGCACCUUUACUAUAGCUUGACAUUGGGAUUUGGAACUGCAUGUGUAGGAUAGGUGGGAGACUGUGAACCCUGUACGCUAGUAUGGGGGGAGUCAUUGUUGAAAUACCACCCUUGUUUUUUCAGGUCCCUAACCCUCGACCGUUAUCCGGUGAGGGAACAGUGUCUGGUGGGUAGUUUGACUGGGGCGGUCGCCUCCUAAAGAGUAACGGAGGCAUGCAAAGGUUCCCUCAGGCUGAUUGGAAACCAGCCGUCGAGUGCAAACGCAUAAGGGAGCUUGACUGCAAGAGAGACAUCUCGAGCAGGUACGAAAGUAGGUGUUAGUGAUCCGGUGAUCCCGAAUGGAAGGGUCAUCGCUCAUUGGAUAAAAGGUACGCCGGGGAUAACAGGCUGAUCGCAUCCAAGA
rnacentral:rRNA from 1 species